rnacentral:rRNA from 1 species
ACGAACGCUGGCGGCGUGCUUAACACAUGCAAGUCGAACGGAAAGGCCCUGCUUUUGUGGGGUGCUCGAGUGGCGAACGGGUGAGUAACACGUGAGUAACCUGCCCUUGACUUUGGGAUAACUUCAGGAAACUGGGGCUAAUACCGGAUAGGAGCUCCUGCUGCAUGGUGGGGGUUGGAAAGUUUCGGCGGUUGGGGAUGGACUCGCGGCUUAUCAGCUUGUUGGUGGGGUAGUGGCUUACCAAGGCUUUGACGGGUAGCCGGCCUGAGAGGGUGACCGGCCACAUUGGGACUGAGAUACGGCCCAGACUCCUACGGGAGGCAGCAGAGGGGAAUAUUGCACAAUGGGCGGAAGCCUGAUGCAGCAACGCCGCGUGCGGGAUGACGGCCUUCGGGUUGUAAACCGCUUUCGCCUGUGACGAAGCGUGAGUGACGGUAAUGGGUAAAGAAGCACCGGCUAACUACGUG